ACCUGAUUCAGCGGCGGACGGGUGAGUAAUGCCUAGGAAUCUGCCCGAUAGUGGGGGACAACGUUUCGAAAGGAACGCUAAUACCGCAUACGUCCUACGGGAGAAAGUGGGGGAUCUUCGGACCUCACGCUAUCGGAUGAGCCUAGGUCGGAUUAGCUAGUUGGUGAGGUAAUGGCUCACCAAGGCGACGAUCCGUAACUGGUCUGAGAGGAUGAUCAGUCACACUGGAACUGAGACACGGUCCAGACUCCUACGGGAGGCAGCAGUGGGGAAUAUUGGACAAUGGGCGAAAGCCUGAUCCAGCCAUGCCGCGUGUGUGAAGAAGGUCUUCGGAUUGUAAAGCACUUUAAGUUGGGAGGAAGGGCAGUAAGCUAAUACCUUGCUGUUUUGACGUUACCAACAGAAUAAGCACCGGCUAACUUCGUGCCAGCAGCCGCGGUAAUACGAAGGGUGCAAGCGUUAAUCGGAAUUACUGGGCGUAAAGCGCGCGUAGGUGGUUCAGCAAGUUGGAUGUGAAAUCCCCGGGCUCAACCUGGGAACUGCAUCCAAAACUACUGAGCUAGAGUACGGUAGAGGGUGGUGGAAUUUCCUGUGUAGCGG
rnacentral:rRNA from 1 species